GAGGCAACACCCAGAGCUGCUUGAUGUGGUCUGGGCAGGCACAGGGACACAUCUGGGGUGAAGGAUGAGGCAGAGAAGCAGGACUGGGGAUGCCAGUCAGGUGCUUUUGUUGCAUUUGGGGAAAGCAGAGAUGGAUUACUUCCCAGUGAAUUGUGCUGCAGAAAUGUGGAGACUCCUUGGCUGCCUCUCAGCAAGCCCCUGGAGGGAGGAGCAGAAUAUCCAAGUGGACGCUGGGCAGAGCAGGGGAAGUGAAAUCAGCUUUUCAUCCUUCUCCACGCAUCAGCAGCUGGCAGCUACAUCUUCAGUGCCUUGUCAUGCUGACGGGUCUCCUGCAGGGAUUGCAUAGAUGUGUCCCUGGGGCUGCAGGACAUGCUGGGACUUCCAGAUGAACCUUUCCAGGCAGAAGCAGAGUGGUGUGCUCGCUGUGAUGAGGAAAGAGGCUGGGAGAAGCUUGCAUUUAAUAAAAAAGGCAUCAAGUAAGGGCUGCUGUGAAUUAGGCAGGUUGUGCUAAAUAGUAUUGGCAGUGCAAGCUGCCUUUUAAAUGUGUAUAAUUCAUGUGCACAAACACACACGGUCUGCAGUCGCUGUCUUGCUGCCUGCAAGAAUUGAGGACAAAUACCAGGAAUAUUAAAUGAUGGUGAUGAGCAAGUGAC